rnacentral:rRNA from 1 species
UACGAAGGGGACUAGCGUUGUUCGGAAUCACUGGGCGUAAAGCGCACGUAGGCGGAUUUGUAAGUCAGGGGUGAAAUCCCGGGGCUCAACCUCGGAACUGCCUUUGAUACUGCGAAUCUUGAGUCCGAUAGAGGUGGGUGGAAUUCCUAGUGUAGAGGUGAAAUUCGUAGAUAUUAGGAAGAACACCAGUGGCGAAGGCGGCCCACUGGAUCGGUACUGACGCUGAGACGGCGAAAGCGUGGGGAGCAAACAGG